CGGCAAUGGGGGAUAACGUAGCGAAAGUUACGCUAAUACCGCAUAUGCCCUGAGGGGGAAAGCGGGGGAUCGAAAGACCUCGCGUUGUCGGAGCGGCCGAUAUCGGAUUAGCUAGUUGGUGGGGUAAAGGCCUACCAAGGCGACGAUUCGUAGCUGGUCUGAGAGGACGACCAGCCACACUGGGACUGAGACACGGCCCAGACUCCUACGGGAGGCAGCAGUGGGGAAUUUUGGACAAUGGGGGAAACCCUGAUCCAGCCAUGCCGCGUGAGUGAAGAAGGCCUUCGGGUUGUAAAGCUCUUUCGGACAGAAAGAAAUCGCAUCUACUAAUACUAGGUGUGGAUGACGGUACUGUAAGAAGAAGCACCGGCUAACUACGUGCCAGCAGCCGCGGUAAUACGUACGGUGCGAGCGUUAAUCGGAAUUACUGGGCGUAAAGCGUGCGGCAGGCGGUUUCGUAAGACAGAUGUGAAAUCCCCGGGCUUAACCUGGGAACUGCAUUUGUGACUGCGAGACUAGAGUGUGGCAGAGGGGGGUAGAAUUCCACGUGUAGCAGUGAAAUGCGUAGAGAUGUGGAGGAAUACCGAUGGCGAAGGCAGCCCCCUGGGCCAACACUGACGCUCAUGCACGAAAGCGUGGGGAGCAAACAGGAUUAGAUACCCUGGUAGUCCACGCCCUAAACGAUGUCAACUAGUUGUUGGGGAAGGAGACUUCCUUAGUAACGCAGCUAACGCGUGAAGUUGACCGCCUGGGGAGUACGGUCGCAAGAUUAAAACUCAAAGGAAUUGACGGGGACCCGCACAAGCGGUGGAUUAUGUGGAUUAAUUCGAUGCAACGCGAAAAACCUUACCUACCCUUGACAUGCCAGGAACUUUCCAGAGAUGGAUUGGUGCCCGAAAGGGAACCUGGACACAGGUGCUGCAUGGCUGUCGUCAGCUCGUGUCGUGUGAUGUUGGGUUAAGUCCCGCAACGAGCGCAACCCUUGCCAUUAAUUGCCAUCAUUCAGUUGGGCACUUUAAUGGGACUGCCGGUGAUAAACCGGAGGAAGGUGGGGGAUGACGUCAAGUCC
rnacentral:rRNA from 1 species